rnacentral:rRNA from 1 species
UACGUAGGGUGCAAGCGUUGUCCGGAAUUAUUGGGCGUAAAGAGCUCGUAGGCGGUCUGUCGCGUCUGCUGUGAAAACCUGGGGCUCAACCCCGGGCCUGCAGCCGAUACGGGCAAGCUAGAAUUCGGUAGGGGAGACUGGAAUUCCACGUGUAGCGGUGAAAUGCGUAGAGAUGUGGAGGAAUACCGGUGGCGAAGGCGGCAUCCUGGACCAUUACUGACGCUGAGGCGCGAAAGCUAGGGGAGCAAACGGG